rnacentral:lncRNA from 1 species
CGAGGCACGGGAUGCCGUUGAGGGACAGGACGUCUGCUUGUCCUUCACGGUGGACUUUCUGGACCUUGGUGGUUGCUAAACGGGCAACCUACCGCGCCCACGACUACCCCCGUCCUCGGCCCUUUUGACAGCGUGUUGGUGUCGUCCCCCGCCCCCACUACCGGUCACGGCCCCGGGCCCUUUCCCAGUGGUCGAGGGAGAUGGGUGGCAGGCCUCGAAUUGGUGGGUCUGAAGAUUUUAGAGCCCACUGCUCUGUAGAUAGCCUUGUGGGACCCGAACAGUCCGAGGAAGACUCCCCCCACCGCCCUACCCAGGCCCUCCUGGGAGAGCAGUUGUGGACAUGUGCCUCCUCAGAGGUCCACAGACUGAGGUCCUAGGCAACCAGGGGGAAGCGACAAAUGUCUUUGAAGUUAUACCUUUUAAUGAAAUUUGGCAUUCUGCUGUUUGAUUUGUGUACAUGUUUUCAUUAUGGGGUGUGGGGGUGUGUGCUGGGAAUCGAACCCAGGGCCUUGCACUGUACCACGGAGCUACAU